rnacentral:tRNA from 1 species
GCUAUCAUAGCUCAAUCGGUAGAGCAGUUCAGAUAUUGAGGUGGUAAACAGGUGCAACCACACACCAGAUUGGUUAAAAGAGAUCCGGGGAAUGCGCCACCCGGCAAUAUCAUGCAACAGGUUCCCGGUUCGAUUCCGGGCGGUAGCU